UUUAAGUUGUAACAUUCUAUUUAGUGCUGAGGUGUCACUUCCACAUAGCUUCUCACAGCCUCUGUUUAAAAACCCUUUUGUUACUAGAGAAUUUACAAAUAAUGCCACUAUAACUUAAUCAUACGACCACCUUUACAUUAAAAUGUUUCUAACAAUUAAUUAACCGAGCCCUUUGUAAUAUGUUUUACACCGAACCAUAUAUUGAUGAUUUAAAAGAUUCUUCUUUCUUAAUCACUUCAAAGUUCAAACCGAAAUCAAGAGUCGACCGUUACAUAUCGGUUUUACACCUGCCAGAAUAACAAAAGCAUAGUUAGUAUCAAUAUACUAACGAACAAGGAUAAGAGUCUUAUCAUCUCAAUAUGAACAAGUACAACGAUACCUAGAACGUGUAUAUAUACAAAUAAACUAACGAAAAAGGUCAAAGUCUUAUAUAUGGCAUAUAUGUGAACAAAAAUCCCAAGAACAUGUCCAGCAACACAAAGCUUUGACAUAUAUACAUUUAUAUAUAUGUAUAUACAUAUAUAUAUAUAUACAUAUAUAUAAAGCUUUAACUCGGAUCACAUCACUCCCAAUUUCAAAUUCACAAAUACACUAAUGAAAAAGGAAAAAUUCUUAUGACAUCUAUAAGAAAAAAGAUACCAAUAACAUGUUCAAUAUUACAAAAGCUUAUAUAUACAAAUCUUUCAAUCCCAGUUUCAAGUUCUAUUUUGCACUAACGAAAAAGGAGAAAGUAUUACUAUCUUGAGAUGAUCAUGUUACAAACUCUGAUUUGGUCCCAAUAUGCGAGAGAGUUUGGGCACACCAAUUAACUCACAUGAAGUCUAGAUUGGUUUCGUAUUAGUUGUCUUUUUCAAUAAUCUAUCUAACAUGAAGAUAUAACCAAUUGUUUGAUAAUUAAUCACCAUAUAAACAUAAACAUGGACAAUCUGAUGUGAGUCAGGUUCAUAUACUUAUAUUUUGAGUUAUAUCUUAGUUGAGAUUACAAAAUCUCUGCAGAUUCAAACUCACGAGAGGAAAGCUGACACAUGUUCAACAUUAAGCAUAAGUGAAUGUUAGUAUGGUACAUAAGGGAUAACUUCACGGGUCGUUAGUUUGUUGCAUAAUUGAUAACUGAUAAAUUUAUGAUUUUGGUUUGGUAACCUUUUGUGUGUUGGUUUAGGUUCUUGAUUAGAAUUCUGUUGGUUAUCAGUUCUUUUAGAUAUAUUAGGUUCUUAAUUAAUAGAAUAAAUUGAGUUAGUCAUAUAUAUUGUGUGUGUUCCUCAAGCCAAACUACUACUUGCUACGAGCAAAAUUCUAUGUUUUUGGAAACAAUUUAUGUCAUAAUCAAUAGCAAAUUAAUUACCUAUACAGAAUAAUCUGCCGAAUAACGCAAUUUAGAAAGUCUUAUACAGCAAAUAUAUAGGGGACAAGGAUAUAGUUAGUCAUAUAUAUUGUGUGUGUUCCUCAAGCCAAACUACUUACUUGCUACGAGCAAAAAUUCUAUGUUUUUGGAAACAAUUUAUGUCAUAAUCAAUAGCAAAUUAAUUACUUAUACAGAAUAAUCUACCGAAAUAUCAAUUUAGAAAGUCUUAUACAGCAAAUAUAUAGGGGAUGUGAUCCUAUGAAUGUUUUUGGUAAAAACUUAAUAUACCUUUAAUGAUAUCGAACAUAAAUAUAUAGGGUGUUGACUGUAUCCCAGAGACUUUCUACAAUUAAAUGACGAGUGCAUUGCGAUGUUUUAUAUAUUUGUUGGGUAAAUUGCCAUUUUAUAUAAGGCAUUUAUUACAUACUGAUCUCGGUUAUUAAGUAUUAUAUUUCAUUGAGCCCCCAUAUUCUCUAUAUAUAUAGCUACUACCUAUUCAGUGUCAUUACACAAACACAUCAUCACAACUAUAUUGUUUUUUAUCUCUUAGCUUUUGAAAUGGCUGACUUUAACUUUGUUUCCGACUUGAAACCCUUCAAGUCUAUGUGGAAAAUCAAGGUUGAGAUCAUACGCCAUUGGAAACAGUAUUCAGCUUCUGAUGGUCUCACAAUUGAAAUGGUUUUGGUGGAUUCAAACGCGAGUUUCAUAUAUACUGUGUUUCCAUUAGUUCGUAAACUCACAUAUGAAAUGGUACUUAAAUGGAUUGUAUAUCAUUUACUUAUAUUUCAGUGCUUACAUAUGGUUUUUAUUAGUGUAUUUAGCUUCGUAUUUUAUAUGUGUUGUGUUUACAUAAUGUGUCUUGGACAAAGACUUGAUUGGAUUGAUAGGGUGAUAAGUUCCACGUAACAGUUUCAAAAUUUUCUAUAGUUUUCUCAUUCUAAACUUAUAAGCUAAUUUGUUGUAUAUGUUCAAUUAAGGCAAAUUCUUCAAUAUCUUUUUUUUUUCUCAAUGAACAAUAUUUUACAUAUAUAUAUCACUAUAAUGUGUAUGUACAUACAGUAUAAAGCACAAAACUACAUUUAAGUUUGUUGACAAACCUGUAUCCGUCGUUGUCCGGGAAUCAUUCAGCCAAAAAUAAUUAUUAGUCCACCACGGCUCUUUCUCGAUGCCAUUUGAGUGGAAGGAGUUGAAGAUUUUGUAGAGGAUUUACUUUCCCAGAACAUCCAGUUUUGUAUUUUUCCAAUUUGAUCGUUUGUCAAAAAAAGAGGAAUCACUAAUCGGAAACAAUCGCAAGUAGGGGAAAAAAUAAGAAACGGCUGGAAGAAAAGUAAGAAAACGAAAACUCACAUGUGUUCGUCUGGUGAAAAGCAAAUUGAUUUCGUUUAAACCCUAAUCCCCCUUUGCUCAUGAGAGAGACGAUUUGUCUCGGAUGAAUUUUUUUC
rnacentral:lncRNA from 1 species